AUUGAACGCUGGCGGCAGGCUUAACACAUGCAAGUCGAGCGGAGAUGAGGUGCUUGCACCUUAUCUUAGCGGCGGACGGGUGAGUAAUGCUUAGGAAUCUGCCUAUUAGUGGGGGACAACAUUCCGAAAGGAAUGCUAAUACCGCAUACGUCCUACGGGAGAAAGCAGGGGAUCUUCGGACCUUGCGCUAAUAGAUGAGCCUAAGUCGGAUUAGCUAGUGGGUGGGGUAAAGGCCUACCAAGGCGACGAUCUGUAGCGGGGCUGGGAGGAUGAGCCGCCACACUGGGACUGAGACACGGCCCAGACUCCUACGGGAGGCAGCAGUGGGGAAUAUUGGACAAUGGGGGAAACCCUGAUCCAGCCAUGCCGCGUGUGUGAAGAAGGCCUUAUGGUUGUAAAGCACUUUAAGCGAGGAGGAGGCUACUGAGACUAAUACUCUUGGAUAGUGGACGUUACUCGCAGAAUAAGCACCGGCUAACUCUGUGCCAGCCGCCGCCGUAA
rnacentral:rRNA from 1 species